AGAUAAAAGAUAUAACAAUAGAGUGAAGAUAAAAUAUAUUUUAAACGUUUUUGUAUCUAAAAAAACUACUCCAGAAAAAAAUUAAAAGAAUUAUAACUUAAUGAAAUAAUUGGUAAGAAUAAAAAUGUAUAAUACAUAAAGUGCGACGCUGGUGGUACCCAGUUUGAAGUGGAUACGCAAAUAGGGCACAUAAAAUCUCAAAAGUGGAAUUAGUAGGAAGAAGUACUAGACAAUUGUUGCAUCAAAUUUGCAAUAAUUGCACACAAUUUAUCCAAAAUAUAGUGCCGGAUGGCUGAUAUGUAGAAAUUUGUCAAAUCCAUCCACUUUUUACAGCAACGUUAUUAUCAGUAUGGGUAGUCAUACUUCUUCACACCAACGAUUAAAGUCCAUUUCGUCAAGGACUUUCGACUUUACCGAAGUAGUCGAUUUUGAAUUCAGCGAUUCAGGAACAGCUUCCGACGAUCCUAAAGUUAUUAAUAACUUUAACUUACCUCAAGUGAAUGGAACUUCCGUUAUCGGUACAUUACCGAUACCAGUGAAAGUGCCCGAAGAUAAAAUAAAGUACCCUCCAAGUCUAAUUUUGCUUAUUGACCAUGUUGAAGAUAUAGAGAAUAAAAUUAAUGCAAUCUCAGAUUCAGAUCUAUUCGUUCAUUAUCCUUCUUUAAAGGACGAUCUGCACAAUUCCUGGCAAAAAGUUUAUGAUAUAAAGGAGACUAAUACAGAUGUCAAGCAAAAGAAAACUGAUUUAAUCGAAUUAAUAAAGUCUUUGUUAAAGAUUAUUAACGAAAGGUUCCUUAAAAGAUCAUGCAAUGCCAAUAAAUAAAUUUUGUUUCAAUUCA